rnacentral:rRNA from 1 species
GAUGAACGCUGGCGGCGUGCCUAAUACAUGCAAGUCGAGCGAACAGACGAGGAGCUUACUCCUCUGACGUUAGCGGCGGACGGGUGAGUAACACGUGGAUAACCUACCUAUAAGACUGGAAAAAUUUGGGGAACCGGGAGCAAUUCCGGGAUAACAUGUUGAACCGCUGGGUUCAACGGUGAAGGACGGUUUUUCUGUAACUUAUGGUUGGUUCCGCGUCGCAUUAGCUGGUUGGUAAGGUAACGGCUUACCAAGGCAACGAUGCGUAGCCGACCUGAGAGGGUGAUCGGCCACACUGGAACUGAGACACGGUCCAGACUCCUACGGGAGGCAGCAGUAGGGAAUCUUCCGCAAUGGGCGAAAGCCUGACGGAGCAACGCCGCGUGAGUGAAGAAGGUCUUCGGAUCGUAAAACUCUGUUAUUAGGGAAGAACAAAUGUGUAAGUAACUAUGCACGUCUUGACGGUACCUAAUCAGAAAGCCACGGCUAACUACGUG